CUCUGUGACUUUCUAAAACAUGGGUUUUAAAAACCUAUGUUUAAAUAGGUAAUAUAUUUACAUAGUUAAAUUCAAACUGCACAAAGAAUAUGUAGUAAAAAGUCUCCCUUGCAAUCAGAAGCGAUUGUACUACCAGUUCUUCUGUCAUUCCAGUACGCCGUAUACACACGCGAGCAGACAGGUUUGCGUUUUCUCCGUUUUCCCUAAUAAAAGGCAACACACUCUA